AGCGUAGACGGAUGGACAAGUCUGAUGUGAAAGGCUGGGCUCAACCCCGGGACUGCAUUGGAAACUGCCCGUCUUGAGUGCCGGAGAGGUAAGCGGAAUUCCUAGUGUAGCGGUGAAAUGCGUAGAUAUUAGGAGGAACACCAGUGGCGAAGGCGGCUUACUGGACGGUAACUGACGUUGAGGCUCGAAAGCGUGGGGAGCAAACA
rnacentral:rRNA from 1 species